CCAGCUUGCACACAUACACACAGUACUUUGACCUCAAAUUACUCAAACUAACAAUUAAAUUGGUACUCAGAAAGAGCUUUUUAGCUCCUAAUCUAGUUUUGACAUUAUUAGAUAUAAGGACAAUGCAGACAUUAGACAACUUCUGUUUCUGUAAGACCUCCGGUUAGAUCUAGUGGAAUCAUACCCGAUUCUCCCAAUGUUUUUAAGAACUACAGAUAAUGAACUGAGAAGCAACACUCAGCAACACUGAACAAGCCUUUCAGCAAGAUCCAUUGCAAUCCUUCAGCUUCACUCUUCAUCGUGCCCUUUCUGUGAAUGGAAAAGACAUGAAAAGGGUUUUGGAAAUGAAGGAUCCUGUUGGGGAAUCCUUUUCUGCAGAUGCGGAUACCCUCCAGCACACCGUUACAGCGCAGCUGGUGCAUGACCAGAGGAUUCUCCAUCGCCCCAGGAGUCUUCGUCUCAUUGGGGAUGAUGCAGCGCACAAAGUGAGGGAAUGAAGUCUCAUAAACUCAAUGGGAAGGAGGACAGCUGCAGUUUUGUAUGCAGCUUUAAUCUUGAGUCAAUGUAGAGGACAUUUAGAGGAUACCUGUUGAUCCAUCCGUUACAGAACUUGACCUGUAAAGAAAAACACAACACAAAUAAAUAUGGAUCCUGUUGGGGAAUCCUUUUCUGCAAAUUCUGAUGCCCUCCAGCACACCGUUACAGCGCAGCUGGUGCAUGACCAGAGGAUUCUCCAUCGCCCCAGGAGUCUUUGUCUCAUUGGGGAUGAUGCAGCGCACAAA